rnacentral:rRNA from 1 species
GAUGAACGCUGGCGGCGUGCCUAAUACAUGCAAGUAGAACGCUGAAGGAGGAGCUUGCUCUUCUGGAUGAGUUGCGAACGGGUGAGUAACGCGUAGGUAACCUGCCUGGUAGCGGGGGAUAACUAUUGGAAACGAUAGCUAAUACCGCAUGACAACAGUUAUUGCAUGAUAACUGUUUAAAAGGGGCAACUGCUCCACUACCAGAUGGACCUGCGUUGUAUUAGCUAGUUGGUGAGGUAACGGCUCACCAAGGCGACGAUACAUAGCCGACCUGAGAGGGUGAUCGGCCACACUGGGACUGAGACACGGCCCAGACUCCUACGGGAGGCAGCAGUAGGGAAUCUUCGGCAAUGGACGGAAGUCUGAACGAGCAACGCCGCGUGAGUGAAGAAGGUUUUCGGAUCGUAAAGCUCUGUUGUAAGAGAAGAACGAGUGUGAGAGUGGAAAGUUCACACUGUGACGGUAUCUUACCAGAAAGCGACGGCUAACUACGUG